ACGAAGCGCUCGAGGCCUCUCGCUUCUUCCUCUGGAUCUCGAUCUAUUUCGCCCGACGAAGAAGUCCCUCAUUGUCUCUAUCUUUGGUUGGAUCGAUCACCGUUGACUGGAGGAGACAUGGCGGAGCAACUCACCGAUGAGCAGAUCUCGGAGUUCAAGGAGGCCUUCACCUUGUUCGACAAGGAUGGCGAUGCAGGUGUGCCCUUGAAACAAUGAAGAUGUCCUGUUGCUUGUCUCCAUGCCCAUAUACUAUCAAAUACAAGCAAUUCUUAUCUCAGAUCAUGGCUCCUGAGUUCUAAGACAUACUCAGUAAAACAAGGCACCUUGAAUUACAAGCUCAGGUCUCACUAUCCUCUGUAUGACUCUGUGAUGCUUCAGAAGACUCUCUGACCACCACCACAUUAUGAGAGCACCCAAAUUGUUUAUCUGUUCAUCCUUGGAUUGCCUCAGGUUUCUCCUAGCAUAGCAUGCAACAUGAAGCUCUGCACUAAGCCUUUGAAUGUAUGCGAGGUGCAGUCAUGUCUUUAGGUGCUCGGAGGUGUUCUAAGACUGGCAGGAUGUCCAUCAUGUUAGGCCUGUUCUUGGGAUCUACAUGGAGGCACUGCAAGGCAAGAGCAGCAAUUGUCUGGGCUUCCUUUUUCGAGUAUCGACCCUCCAGUCUUGUGUCCAUGAUCCUCAACAGCUUCCUUUUGUCGUUUAGAAAUGGCUUUGCCCAGUCUACCAGAGCCUCUUCUGUGGAUCCCCUAUCUUCAUCCACUGCUCGCCUUCCUGAUAACAGUUCUAACAACACGACUCCCAGGCUGUAUAUGUCACUCUUCACACUCAAGUGACCUGCCAUAUAAAUAUUUUACAGGAUCUGAUGGCAGAGUUCAAGAAGGUGGCAAGAACUGCUUAUCGUCAAAGGUCACAUGUCCGUUUAAGAUUGCAGUCCUUUUGGGUACAUGGAAAAGGAGAAGAUAAUGUCACAAGGAAUUCCAGACAUUACAAUAUAUAAGGUGAUACAGGAGCUGAAAAGUGUUGCAACAGGUAAAGCAAUUUUCUUGCUGAAGAACUUGAACAAGAUAAAUGGAUCACAAAUGGUCUAUUAGGAAAUUUCAUAUCCCAGAUUAUCAUCAGAAGCAUGCUUAUGAAUCUAAUGUUGCAUGCCUCAUCAAUCACAUCCUUGUGUUUCUAUAAUUUAGUAACCUAGUGACAGAAUUAGCUCGUGUCCUAAAAAUCAUAGUGCGUUAUUGUAUGCAUUCAAUCAUCUCCAAGGAACAUGAAAGCCAUAUCAAACAGAUGAAUAGAGAAAAUAACUAAUGACAAGACAUCGUAAUUUCUUCCCUCAGUAUGUUUUGGAAAUUUUCUUUUGAGCUUAGUCACCUGAAUUUGUUCUUGAUCUAAGAAUAAUCUCACACUUUACUAUCCCAUAUCUAGGCCCAGAGAAGCAGGCAGGUUGGGGAGUGCUUCGAACAUGGGCUUCACACCUGCUGUACCUGGAAGCAUUGCUACCCUGCGCAACUUCUCCCAGUAUAUAAGAUUACAUGUAACUCUAUAUCAGGUCUGCCCACAAUCGUAAGCAUCAUCUACCACUCUCCCCCUCCCACCUUUGUCGCCUCUAUUUCAACUUUUUCUUCUUGCAGUUUUCAUUUCAUAACUGAUGAAAAGAUUGCAGAAGAAGGAGAGGCAAACAAGCAAACUGAAAGCAAGCAGGGAGCAAAAAAAGCAGCAGGCAAGGAGAACACAUAUCUAAAGAAGCAUUCCUCACUUGAAACACUAGGAGAAGAGGCGUUUGCGCAUUUAGCAGAACCCCCGCAGAAAUUCCCCAUGAAAGAACAGCCACCAAGCCCUCGUCAGCCGCACUGAUCAUAGCUAACCACAUGCGUAUAAACAAAGGUGGGAAGGAUAAGGAUGAAGAAUAUCGUCUCCCACGGCAGAGCUUGGUCACGCGUCUGAUUGAGACAAUCCGACAUUUCCAUUCGCUUGACCGGUUCAAGGCAGCCACGUGGUGAUUUAUGAGUUUGGCAUAUUGACAUGCGUGCAAAAGGUUAAGCUUCAGGUCAACGACUUUGUCGGAUCUCAGCCGCCGGAAUGGAGUACAUAACAAAGGUUGUGCUAUUAAUUUCAUAUAAUAGUUGGUGGAUUUGAUCUUACGCUGGAAAAGAUUGCGACUAGACGAUAUCUUCUUCUUGUGUGACUGUAAGGUCCCCUCCAAAAAAAAAGUCUAAGAAAAGGUGAGAAAAUGAGAAAGGACUAAAGCUCAAAUUUCUGCCUUGGUGGGCCCGAUUAAAAGUUGGGAGUCACUGGUUCUCGGUCAUCAUGAAAUCAUUGGGAUGUCAUAUGCCACAUUUUAGAUGAACUUGUUCUCCAAGGGGACAAUUUUUAGAGGUUUGAAGUCCAUUCUUCCAAGCUAUGCGCAUAUGCCUCGUUUGAAGCAUUGAUAUCAGUCUUUGGACUUAAAUAGCAUUAUGAAUUGUUAUUUAGGAAGUGAAUAAAAUGUUAUUGAUUUCAUCACAAAGCCAAAAAAAUCUUAGAGAGACUUGGAAAGGGUAGAUCAUGUGUUAUUUUUCCUUGCUACUAAAAAGGAGUUCCUUGUGCUUUACUUGCAGCUUAGAAAAGGUGGAUUUGCGGCAGAUGAACCAUCUAAGAUCCUGGUAUGCUAUUUCUUCGUUGCCUUUGACUCCUAACAAAAGAUUAUUGUUAGAAAAGGUGGAUUUGCGGCAGAUGAACCAUCUAAGAUCCUGUACUUCAAACAGCUGAGAGAUCAUAGCCACUAGCACAACAUUUCACGUCAGAUUCUCCGAGUCAGCCCCACGCGAUAAAGUCAAUUCUUGUCUUUGCCUCGUUAUGAAGGCAAUUAUAUGCAGAGAAGGAAAACAAAAGAUGCCACCGACAAAUAUUAUUCAACGCAUUGUACGACUCUGCCAGCAUUUUCUAAUUAAUGGCGGAAUUAGGCGCAUUGCUUGCUAUAGAAGACAAAGGUUGAGACUGAGACUGCACCAAAGGGAAUCUAAGAGACAGCUUUUUUCCUCAUGCUUGUCCAUGAUGAUUGCUACUGAAACCUAAACUUCCCGCACCUCGAGUUCUUCAUGGAUCGCAUGCCAGGUCAGUAUCUCAGUGAAUUAGUUCUCCUAAGUUAAAUUUACUUCUGCUCAGCAGUGAAACAAAGGAGUUGCUUCCACGGAAGGAAACAGAGAUAGCAUGAGAACUGAGAGGAGUUGGAUGAUCCAAGGCCUGAGCACCAGAGAAAUCAUUGGGCCGCCCGAUGAGUGAGCUGAUACAUGCGUACAAUCAUAUGCCAAGUAAACAAGACAAAUUAGCAUCACAUAAGAGAGGUCCUUCUGUCUUUACUCGAACCGUCGUUGCCAUGUGUGUGCAUUUCUCAUAUGUUUAGGAACUCCUGAGCUACUUAACCUCGUGAACAGCACUCACUAUAUAUCACCAGUCUUGUAGACAUGGCGACUUCGAUAUCCAUGGUGCUUUCUUUUACCCUAUGCUUGCUCCUCCUAUAUCAUGCCUUUGGCUCCCAACUUGGCUUCGAACAAAGAGCAGGGCAACCGUUCGGAAGCCGCAGUCUUCGCUGAAGCCCAGUCAACAAAGUCGGCGACGGUUCGAGUCAACACAGAAGAGAGCUCUCUACCACACACCCGGUUGAGGUCGUCGCUCCUAAUUACCCUCCUAAUGGCAAUUCUAACUCGGCGUUUACUCCUCGACAACGUUCAGGAAAGACGAAGGAGAAGCCAAGCGUCUCAACUCCGGCGGAACCGCCGGCACCUCCGCCUCCUCCAGUCGAAGACGGCGGCAAGCGGACAGGUCGCCGCCUUUUAAUGCCAACUGAUAGACAUCAAA